rnacentral:rRNA from 1 species
GGGGGGGGGGGGGGGGGGGGGGGGGAGGGGGGGGGCGGGGGGGACGGGCCGGGUGUUGGGGGUUGCUCGAGUGGCGAGCGGGUGGUUCACCCGUGAGUACCGUGCCCGUGACGUUUGGAUAACUUCGUGCAACUGGGUCUCAUCGCUGAUAGGAGCUCCGUCUGCAGGCUUGUGUGUGGACAUUUGUGGCGGUUGGGGAUGGCCUCGCGUCUUCUCAGCUUGUUGGUGGGGUAGGGGCUUACCAAGGCUUUGACGGGUAGCCGGCCUGAGAGGGUGACCGGCCACAGUGGGACUGAGAGACGGCCCAGACUCCUACGGGAGGCAGCAGUGGGGAAUAUUGCACAAUGGGCGGAAGCCUGAUGCAGCAACGCCGCGUGCGGGAUGACGGCCUUCGGGUUGUAAACCGCUUUCGCAUGUGACGAAGCGUGAGUGACGGUAAUGAGUAAAGAAGCAACGGCUAACUAAGUG